GUCACUGCUUAUUCUGCAACUCCCCAAACUCCAGACCACACAGAGCCCAUGAUGGGACACAGUCAACCUGUGCUCUCUAAUGAUGGACCUUUCAUGUAAGCUUUCUGGGGGGAAAGAAAGAGAAAAUAAGAAAAGAGCAAACUGAAAGACGCUUGGGGAUAACAAGGGAAUCUAAAGAGAGUCACCAGAGAAACCAGACUAAUGAACGCAGGAGGCUUCCCAGAGGACCCUGGGUUUUGCUGUCCAGGAACCACAAAUAUUCACUUCACUCGACUCCAUGGCCCAGCACCUCCAUUCCGUGAGAGACAUGAUUAUUUCAGCAAUGAAACCUACCAAAUGUUAAAAAUGACUCACAAGGCAGCGAGCGGCACGGAGAUUGGAUUGUGAGAGCUUCGGGAUGGAAAAGGCGACUUUUGGUGGACUCCUCGAUGGCUCCUGGAUGGGUCCAGUCCCCAGAAAGACCAAGCCAUGAUGAGAAGCUCGGAAUUUUCAGCCCUCUCCCACCACCACCGCCCCCCCCCCAUUUUCCAGAAAGGGGAGAGGGGCUGGAUACGCAGUUAAUAAUUGAUCGUGCCUACGCCCCAAGGUAUGGAGUUAGGAGAGCUUCUAGGUGGGUGAACACAUCCACGUCACAUACUAGGAGGGUGACACAGCCCAAUCCACAGGAACAGAAGUUUCUGCGCUCAGGAUUCUCCCAGACCUCACCCUAGGUGCCUCUUCAACUGGCUGUUCAUCUGUGUCCUUCAGCACAUCCAUUAUUAUAUAGUAAACAGGUAAACAUAAGUAAGUGUUUUCUGGAGUGCUGUGAGCUGUUCUAGGAAACAAUCAAAUCCAAGGCGGAGGACGUCAUGGGAACCUCUGAUGUGUAGCCAAGUCAGACAGAAGAUGUGGGUCACCCGGAGACCUACUACGUGCAGUGCCGUCUGAAGUAGGGGCAGUCUCAGGCAACUGAGCCCUCAGCCCGUGAGAUAGGGUGCUACCUGGAGGUAGAUGGUGUCGGAGAAUUGCUUGGUGCAGAAACCUGGCCGCACCUGGUGUCAGAAGUACUGUGAGUGUGACAGUCGCGUGAGAGAGGAGGAGACACGCGGGAGGACAAAUGCAGGCUUCCUGCUCGGCCACAGCUCUGGAAUCUCACAGUGCCAGGCUGCCGCGGGACAGGGUUUCCUCUGGUGACCAAGUUGUCCGCUCGCAACGGGGUGCUGCCUACAAGACCCUUCGAGUCCCGUGGCCCUGGUGCUGCAGUGACAUGGGGCGCAGGCCUUUGGGACCAACUAAUUGCCUAAAUGUGGAAGAGUCAGAAGUGAAUUCCAGGAGAAAAAACACACAUAUAUCCAUUAGCAUCUUACGAUAUUCUCCCGCCUUACAUUACAACAUAAUGUCCGAGCUAUGCUUUUGCAAAUAAACUAUUUACACGUUA